rnacentral:rRNA from 1 species
UACAGAGGUCUCAAGCGUUGUUCGGAUUCAUUGGGCGUAAAGGGUGCGUAGGCGGCGCGGUAAGUCGGGUGUGAAAUCUCGGAGCUUAACUCCGAAACUGCAUUCGAUACUGCCGUGCUUGAGGACUGGAGAGGAGACUGGAAUUUACGGUGUAGCGGUGAAAUUCGUAGAUAUUGGGAAGAACACCAGUGGCGAAGGCGGCUAACUGGUCCGAUACUGACGCUGAGGUGCGAAAGCGUGGGGAGCAAACAGG